CCUACGGGUGGCAGCAGUGGGGAAUAUUGGACAAUGGGCGAAAGCCUGAUCCAGCAAUGCCGCGUGAGUGAGGAAGGCCUUAGGGUUGUAAAGCUCUUUCGGCGGGGACGAUGAUGACGGUACCCGCAGAAGAAGCCCCGGCUAACUUCGUGCCAGCAGCCGCGGUAAUACGAAGGGGGCGAGCGUUGUUCGGAUUUACUGGGCGUAAAGGGCGCGCAGGCGGUCGUGUUUGUCGAGUGUGAAAGCCCCGGGCUCAACCUGGGAAUUGCGCUCGAAACGGCACGGCUAGAGUUCGGGAGAGGAGAGUGGAAUUCCCAGUGUAGAGGUGAAAUUCGUAGAUAUUGGGAAGAACACCGGUGGCGAAGGCGGCUCUCUGGACCGAUACUGACGCUGAGGCGCGAAAGCGUGGGGAGCAAACAGGAUUAGAUACCCCUGUAGUC
rnacentral:rRNA from 1 species